rnacentral:rRNA from 1 species
AAUGAGCGCUGGCGGCAGGCCUAACACAUGCAAGUCGAACGGAUCCUUCGGGAUUAGUGGCGGACGGGUGAGUAACGCGUGGGAACAUACCCAAAGGUACGGAAUAGCCUCGGGAAACUGGGAGUAAUACCGUAUGUGCUCGAAAGAGGAAAGAUUUAUCGCCUUUGGAUUGGCCCGCGUUGGAUGAGGUAGUUGGUGGGGUAAUGGCCUACCAAGCCGACGCUCCAUAGCUGGUUUGAGAGGAUGAUCAGCCACACUGGGACUGAGACACGGCCCAGACUCCUACGGGAGGCAGCAGUGGGGAAUCUUAGACAAUGGGGGAAACCCUGAUCUAGCCAUGCCGCGUGAUCGAUGAAGGCCUUAGGGUUGUAAAGAUCUUUCAGGUGGGAAGAUAAUGACUGUACCACCAGAAGAAGCCCCGGCUAACUCCGUGCCAGCCGCCGCAGUAA